rnacentral:lncRNA from 1 species
UCCUUUAGCUGGACUUGGAGACAAAGGCUGACUUAGUUGGGGCUGUGUGGGGAUAUUAACUCUACCAAUUCCCCUCGGUGGAGCAUCAGCAACAGAUGAGGUUGGUUUACGGGAAGGCAAGGUUGUUGCAUCUUCUUCCUUGGCCGCCACUGGAGACAAACUUCCCAUGCUUUCUGAGGAAGUCUGAACAGGAAUGGAAGUUGAUAAAGCAACUGGUGCAUUUGGAACACUACUGACGGGCACAUUCAAACUUGGACGUUCCCCAACGGGUGUUGAUGGUGCUGAGUGAAGGGCCCCAUUCUUUUGGGGAGGGGUUUUUGGAAGUGUCUCAGAAUUGCUAUCCGGUAAAGUUGUAUCGUCAGUCUUCUCUUGAGAAGUGCUCUGAUGGUGUGUUGGCAAACUUAUGCUCUGAAACAAAGCCAAAAAUAAAGAAACAUAAACAAAAAGUUCUUAAAACAAAAGGAUAUAGGAAUACUUACCCGAACUUGAGAUGCUGACGCUGCCACAGAACUCUUCAUGCUCAGAGGAGUACCCUGAAAAAAUUUAAGUCGUGUUACUGCUAAUAUAACGCCAAAUGUCCUGAAUUUAUCCCUUUCAAAACGAUUCCUCAAUUUGUGACAGAUACAGCAUUUCAUGUUUCCGGAGAGAGAGAAAGCAAAUAGAAAAUUUGAAAGAAAAAGUUACCUUGACGAGGGGGCCAGCAGUUACUAGAUCUUCAAGACCCUCCACCUCAUCUAGUGGCAACGUGCUAUAGAGCUCAUCAACAUCACUGAAUUCGUCAAAAUCAUCCUACAUAAUCCAGGAGAAAUAUUAGCCUACUGAUAAAAUUGGAAACCCACAGUAAAUCAUAUGAACACACAUCUAAGCAAAAUAUUCCAGGUUAUAGAUAACGCAGACCUGAUUUCGUUCAACAUAAUCAUCCAGAAAAUCUUUGACGUCAUUUACUUGUUCUGGACUUAAUUCAUCAUUGUCCAGAAGCCUCAAUAUCAAUUCCAACUUUAUUAUAUGAUCCUUGUGUCUUGUGAUAGAUGUCUCGAGAUGUGUCUAAAAAACAAAACAGAUAUUUGACAAAAUUUACCACAAGGAAGGAAUUAUAGCAUUAGCAUACCGAUGAAUAUUUUACAGAGCUUACCAAUCUGGGCGGCCUUGACUUUCCUUUUUUGACAGAUAGUCCUUCCAACUCAGCUUCAAAGCUAUCAAUCUGCGACUCGAGUUCACUCACCUAUCAAAAGCAAGAAAAUGAGCAGUGAAUCAGCUACAGAAAUGAUUUAUGAUUGACAAUCCGUAAGGAUCUCACCACCUAGUUUCCAUAGCAGAUCAACCUUAUUAGCCUAGGGGUUUGAUAAACACCACUAACAUAAAUUCGCUUUGACGUUUCUCUUAAGGGGUUCAAGAAUAAGAAAUUAAGCAUGGAGGCGCCAGUAACUUACCACAUUGUUCAACCAAUCUCUUGUUUCUGACUUUGCUUUCUCUUUGGGGUCCUAUUAAACAUGAAGCAGAAACAAUCAGUAGCCUGACUACCAAAAAGAGGUUUAAGUAAUAUGUAAAUCCACCCAAAGUAGUUCCAACAGAUUUCACAAAACCAGAAAUGUUUUGAUUAUCAAUGACAUUGUUAGAAGGAAAAAUAGUUCAUAUCUACAAACACUUAAAUAUCACAUUUAAUUUAGAUGAAGAAUAAAUAAAUCAAAGGAAACACAACGUUUUGGAGAAAAUCUUACAGUUUUAGGUUGCUGACCCAGUCCUUCCUUAGAGAAUGCUUUUGUCUUGGUCUCUUUCUCACAUAUUUUAAACCUCUCCAUUUCUCGCUCAAUGAGCUUCCGAGCGUCAACCAGGGAUUGCUCAUAUGAUGCACUCACCUAAAUCAAAUGACAGACAAAAAAAUCUGGCUUAGUUCAAUCUAGAACAAACGGGUAGUAAGAUUCCUUCAAAAGGUGUAGAAGAUGAAGGAAGAACACUGACUUUUUUAUCUUUGAUCUCACUAGACUGAAUCCAAGUCUUGAUCUGGUCCCUAUACCGCUGCAGCUUCUUAAUCUCCUUCUUCAAGUCAGCCUCAAACUUUUCCUUUUGGUUAACAUUAUCCGUAUCAUAGACCUGAAACACACCAAAAAAGAGCCCGGGUUGGUUGGUUUGUCCUCUGUCCAAGUAAUAAAACUUUAUUCUGCGUGUCGAAAACAAACACUCUGCUCACAUUCCACUGCAUAAAACAACAAACAUGGAGCUCCCAUUUUUGAGUUCCACUGACCAAAACAACUUUACUCACAAACAAACAAACAAAAAUUAAUGUUUCAAUCGCAUCAAAACCAUUCCAUUGCUUUAAAUGCAAACAAUCAUCUCGAACACUCCUUCAGUAAACUCAAUCCUAUAUUUCGAAGCUAUAUACUAUAGAUCUUCCUGCAUUAUCCAUAUCAUUCGAAUUCAAAUAUGAAACGAUAGGAGGUGAUCGAGGCCCAGGGAAAAGCUCUACCUUGUUCCAGAUGCUGUCGAAGACAUCAACACCUUCCUGAACCUUCUUCAGCACCCGAUCUAUCUCGCCUUGUAGCUUCCGACUCGCUCCCAUUACAGCUCAGCCAGAGAAGUAUUAGGGUUUCCUCUGAUUCGAUUGGUGAAUAGAAGUUAGGGUUUCACUUUCAGAGGAAGACGAUGAUGAUUGUGUAACACUAUCGAUGAAUUGAUUGGAUGUAAAGGAUGAUGUAAUAAUAAGAAAGAGUUGAAGUAUACGUGUUAGAUAUUGACGGCCCAAUUUAUAAGUUUUUAGUGGGCUUUUUUAUUAUCAUAUUUACCCCUCUUAUUUUUAUUUCUUUCUGAAUGACACCCUCAGUUUUUGUUCUUUUCAAUUAUUCACUAGAGAACUCAAGUUUUCCCCAAAUGUGAAGAAGUCUAGCCAUGUUUCUUGAAUAAAUUACUGAUCAUUUAGAAAAAAUAGAAAUUAGUUUUAAUUUAGUGAUGACUUAGAACAUCUUUAACGCAAGGUUCUUCCCCAAAAUUUUCAUCCUUUAAAAAAUAAAAUUAAUUAUAAAAUAGGAGAAAGAGUAAAGAUAAGUUUUUGUUUUACACUUUUUUAGAUAUUUUGAAUAACGGAUUUUACGACUCUCUUGAAAAUUAAAGUGUUAACUAGAUUUUGACCCGCGCUUGAAAAGCGCGGAUUUGUUUUUGUAAUUAAAUAUAUUUUAAACAAAUUUCUAUAUAAGAUAAUGUAUAAGUUUGAGCACAUUUAUCCAAAAACACGGACCAAUCCGUACUAACUGAAAAACUAAAAUUGAACUGAAUUGCAUAAAUAAUAGAGCAAACCAUAUAUCUAUGACUGAAAAAUUGAAACUAAACCGAGAACCAAAUGAGUAUCUGAAUUUUCAAAUAAAAAUUAUAUAUUUAAAAAUAUUAAUUACAUUCAAUUUUAAAAACCAAAUAUCCUAAAAAUACUAUUUAUAAACCGGAUAACUCGAAAACUUGAAUUACCCGAAUAUUUUUAUUUGGUUGAUAAAUAAUUUAGUUAACCAAAAGUAUAAAUUAUGUAUAUAAUUAUUGUUUUUUAAAUAUAUAUAUAACAAUGUUUAAUAUAACACAUAGUAUCAAAACUAUUUUCAAAAUAAUAUUAUGUUUUAAAAUAAGUGGAUUUUGUUCUAAAACACAAUUCUAUUGCUAACCUAUUUUAAAAUAUCAAUAUAGUGUUAAUAAAUAACAAUGUGUUUUUAAAGUUUUUAGAAGUUAUUACUAACCGAUUUAUAAUUGGUUAGACUAAAUAUUUAACGGAACCAAAGAUAAAUAGCCAUUUUCUGAAAAUAUAGGAGAUGGAAAGAUUGAACCGGUUUUAUGUAGACCAUAAUCAUAUAUAUGGAUUCGUAUAGGAACUGACUUGGUAUUAAAUGGUACAACCAAUUUGGAAUAUUAAGUUGUGACAAACAUCGUUUAGUUUGUGAAUGAUAAUGUUGAAGUGUUUAUAUAUAUAACAUCGUUAAUGAAAUCAGUUUAGUUAAUAAAAUUGGUAUAAAAUAAUGGUUGAUCUCUGUAAAAGAUGCAAUUUGUUUUACAAUAGAUAUUGUAUUAUGUUUAUAGUCUCCGAAAGUAUUUACUAUUAAAUAAAUCACAAGUAACCAUAUAUACAAAUAUAGGGUGGACAUUAUUUAAUAAUAACAUAAAAUAAUUAUGAUGGAAUAAUGUGUAUAUAGUAAAUGUAUAUGUAGAGAAUUAGGUUAGUAUCAUUUUUUAUGACUAAUUUGUUUUUAAUGAAGAAUAAUGAAGUUAAUAGUAUGAAAAAUAAUAGGAAUUCUAGUUAAAUGAAAUGGUCCAACUAUGACUUGUUUUAAGUAGAUUUUUUAGGACUCCUUCCCUUUUAAUAGUAUUGAUGUUCAGAAAAAAAACUGAAAAUGGACAUACAAAUAAAAUAGUAAUAAUUCUAUUUUUUUUUUAAACUAUUACAGUACAUAUCUGUUAAAGGUGCUCUUACGAUGUACUCAAAUACUCACAAAUUUUGUUUCAUGGGGUGUUUAAUGACUUUCAAAAAAAAAUAUGAACAAAACAAAGCAAAAGUCCAUACAUACAAGAUACAACAGCAUAUUUAAUGCAAAGUUUUGUAUAUCUUUUUCAUGUGAAUUCAAUUUACAGAAUUGUAAUGCUUAGGCGGGCCAACAAAAUUAUUGUGGGUAAAAUCAAAAUUCUACAAAACUUUCAGGGACGCAAAAAUUAUGGUGGACUUCGUCUUGUCCAAAAACAGAGGAAGAAGCAAAACAGAGAGCAGAAACCCUUCACGACCCGAAAGCAGCUUCUUGGACUCUUCUUCUUCUUCCUACUAAGAAAAAAUGGUGGAUUCAAACCAUGAGACCGAGAUCAGAUGCCACCAUUGCGCAGGCUCACUUACGAAAAAUUUGGUAUUUUACGCAUCCAGCAUCAAUCUGUAUUACACAGAUCUAUACUGAAGAUGAUUAAUGAUUCUGAUUGAUUUCAGGAAACGAGUGAAUGGACUGUGUCUCCGUUCAUCAGGGACAGCUUUUCUAUGGUAAGUUUUGUUUGAUGAUCAAGUUCCGACUCUUUUAGUCUAACUAUAGCUUUGCUGCAAUUGUCAACAAGUUUGGUCCUUUGACGUUGAGAACUCAAACUUUCCUUUCUGGCAUGAUCUACAUCUGCAAAAACAUCAAGAACAUGUCUCUUACUUUUUCGUCUGCAUUUUCAAGAUAUUGAAACCAAAAACUGAGCUCCAACAACUCUAGGGGGGUUUAAUUAACUGCCAAUAGAUUAGAAAAGACAAUCUCUUAUUAUGAUGCAAUACUUUGGGUAUCAUAAAUCAUGUGAUUGUACCACAAAAUUUAAAAUAAUCGCGCUCAAGACCUGGCAAGUACACAACCUAUAAAAAAAACGCUACCUGCUGUAAAAGCGGAUUUUGCUGUUGUGAAGAAAACUGCUUCUCGUUUCUUUCGGAUAGUACUUGCUGGUACCGCUGUAAGAAUUUCUCCCUUUGAUCUGGUGAUAUUUCAGUUCUUCCACGGACCUAGAAGUGAAACCACAAACCAUAACAUUGUUCAGACUACCAACUUAUAUAGUGCAAAGGUCCUACAGAUCCUUGGUAUUAUAGUCGAAUUCAAAACACGCACCGUUUCAUUCUGACUCUGAAAGGGACUCCCAGGCCUCCACUGCAAACCAGAUACAAUAGACGGUGAAUAAGCUCUACCGAUGCUUGCCGCAACAUCACCAGGGUUACCAUCAGAGAUAGUUCCAUCAUUACCCUUCGCAGCUGGUGGUAGUACCAUUUUGCUGAGCGGAGAGGUUAGAGGUUGGACAUUGCUCUCAACUCCCAUUAUUUUUCUCUUUGCAAUUUCAGCUGCUGAAGAAGUCGCACCAGUGCCGUUAGCUGCACUUGGAGACAAAGGCUGACUCAGUUGAGGCUGGGUGGGGAAAUUAACUCUACCAAUGCCCCUCGGUGGAGCAUCAGCAACAGAUGAGGUUGGUUUACGGGAAGGCAAGGUUGUUGCAUCUUCUUCCUUGGCCGCCACUGUAGACAAACUUCCCAUCCUUUCUGUGGAAGUCUGAACAGGAACGGAAGUUGAUAAAGCAACUGGUGCAUUAGGAACACUAC